UACGUAGGGUGCGAGCGUUAAUCGGAAUUACUGGGCGUAAAGCGUGCGCAGGCGGUUGUGCAAGACAGAUGUGAAAUCCCCGGGCUUAACCUGGGAACUGCAUUUGUGACUGCACGGCUAGAGUGUGUCAGAGGGGGGUAGAAUUCCACGUGUAGCAGUGAAAUGCGUAGAUAUGCGGAGGAACACCGAUGGCGAAGGCAAUCCCCUGGGCCUGCACUGACGCUCAUGCACGAAAGCGUGGGGAGCAAACAGG
rnacentral:rRNA from 1 species